CAACGUUCAAUGUUCUUCACUCUCAUUGUGACUUUCGAGAACAAGGCGCAUCAACUUCUGAGUGGAAGAGGUUAACUGUAAGAUCAAAUAUUGAAAUUCUGUUUCAGCCAGAAAACUCUUAUCAAAAUCUACAAAUUCAAGCUCUCUUCAAUUGUCUCUCUGGCACUGAGUGCUUACAGAUACCCAUGCUGAAUGUUAAUCAUUAGUUAGGUGUUUCUGUCGUUUUAUAUUUAGAAGUUUAUGUCUGGGCUAUGUCCCCGGCUAUAAGAUAUAUCAUAUAUUUCAUAGAUGUCUUUCUAUUUACAGUGUAUCAUAAUGAUUAUAUAUUCUGGAUUUGACAGUAGAGUAGUUUGUUUAGUGAUUUUGGACAAACGGAAACUGAUGAUCUUUUUCCAUGUUCUUCCAUAUCCAAAAAUGGGGUGCUUUUCUAACGAUUGUGCUUGAAUUUAAUAGAUUGUUACUCUUUUAUUUUGGGGGGGGGGGAAUUUUGUUGUGGCUUCUGAAAUAUUUUGUAAUCUUUUGUAAUAUUUGUCCUAUUGAAUGUUCAAUAGAUAUAGUUUAGGGUAGAUAUGGAAAGUUAUUUGCGGGCCAAUACUAAGCUGACACAUGAAAAGGUAUUAUAAUAAAAUAUGAGCCCACAUGUGCAAAUCAUGGAUGAGGACAGCCCUAGUGAAUUUAGCUCACUUAGAAGGACAAAUCUAAAAUAAAAUAAGAGAUAUUUUGGUCUCUAGCAUGUUGUCGGUUGAGUCAGGACGAGGGCUUAAAUUUUGAAAAAUGGCAAGGCUCUUCCCUUUGAAACUAAGGCCACCCCUAGGAGGUUUACUCUUCGUUUUGAGUUUCCUGGAAGGUAAACUUUCGUGUGGGUUAGGAGCCGUGGUACUCUCAUUGUCAAAGUCGUCGUUAGAAUCACUCUUGGCUGUUGUUUUCCCCUCCUCCCUCAUAAACUCCUGGAUUCACCCUCAUCACUAUCAUUACUAGAGUUGGUAAAAUGGAUAAUUGUGUCGCGUACGUGUCGUGUCAGAUUUAGGUUAACCUUAACAUGACCCAUUUAAUAAUCGUAUUAAAAUAUUGAGAUUCAAACUAGACACAGAAAAUAAAUAGGUUAUUUAAUAACACGUUUAAUAUCUAUAUAUUUAAUAAAAUUUAUAUCAAACAUCUGCAUACUAUUAUACAUACACUCCUCUAAAAUAUUACACAUUUAUACUAUUGAAAUUUUACUAUUAAAAUUUUAAAUCUAUAUAAAAUAUUAUAAAUGAAACAUUGUAUAUACGUCCAUCCUUUAGAAAAAAUAAAUAAAAAAAGAGAAUUAUGUCUAAUAUUUGAAUUUUAAUAACAAGAAUCUAAAAAUUAAUUUAAAAUAAAAAGUAUAAUUGUAUCAUUCAUUAGGUAAAUCAGUUAAGAACUUUAACCCUAAUCCAUCAUUAAAAAAAAUCACCUUAAAUUUAAUAACUUAUACCCAUUUAUUUGUGUUGUAUUCAUAUUAAAUAAUCAGCUCAUAUCAAAUUUUGCUAACUCUAAUCAUCACUUAAUGUGGGGAAACAAUAUUGCCGAGGGGCAAACUUAAAACGAGAAUAUUCACCAUUAUCCCACUCGUCUCAUCAUUAUCCUCCAAAUAAAAAACAUCCACCUUCCUCUUCAUAACUGUCACAAACCUAUUGAAUUACCCUCUCAUCACAAACCCCAACACAAAUAGAAAAAUAGAAGCAGCGAAAUACAGAACCAACAAAACAAAAACUAAAGAAGGCCAACAGCAAAAAUGGAGAAAGAGAAGGGAAACAUACCUCAUUUGAUUGAAAGAUGAGCAGAUUUAAAGAAAGGGAAGAAAGAGAGGUGAGAAAUCGAGCAACAGACCACCUAAAAAAAAAGGAGAAAAGAGAGAGAAGAAUUUAUGAUCAUGUAAAAGAAAGGAAGAGCGGAGAAAAGGAAGAAGAAAAAUAAAAGAAAGGAAGGUCAAACCUUAGUAUGAAGAAGCAAUAAGAGAAGUUGCAAUGCCAAGGUGAUGGACGGUGAACUCCUGCAUCAUCAUAAUGUGCAGUUGUAAAACAGAGCAAAUCUCAUAAUAAAACGCAGAGGAGGAGAAGAUGGACUCGCCAGAGGGUAGAUUCAAAGCGCCUACAAGUCAAAGCCCAAAUUUUUCAGAAACAGGGGCUUCAAGCUAAAGGGGAGAGUAAGCGAAGCAGGAAGUAUGAAGGAAAGAGAGAGGAAUCGAUUUUGGGUAAGAAAAACCAUACAGCAAAGGGUUAGCCAAGUGUAAGGGGGAGAUCAUCCCUUACUUAAAUGGGUUUUAAUCUAAUGGCAAUAAGGCAAUGACCACUGAAAAAGGGGUUCGAAGAAUAUGAAAAGGUGGGAAAAAAUUUGCGCUGUUUAUGAAAUUCAAGGGCUAAAAAUCCGCUGCUUAUCAGUACCCAAAGGGAGGACAGCUAGAGGCAACAAUGCGUGUAAUGGAGGGACAUAAUGGGAUGUACUACAUGGGUUAAUUAUCA
rnacentral:lncRNA from 1 species